rnacentral:rRNA from 1 species
AUUGGACGCUGGCGGCAUGCCUUACACAUGCAAGUCGAACGGCAGCACGGGUGCUUGCACCUGGUGGCGAGUGGCGAACGGGUGAGUAAUACAUCGGAACAUGUCCUGUAGUGGGGGAUAGCCCGGCGAAAGCCGGAUUAAUACCGCAUACGAUCUACGGAUGAAAGCGGGGGACCUUCGGGCCUCGCGCUAUAGGGUUGGCCGAUGGCUGAUUAGCUAGUUGGUGGGGUAAAGGCCUACCAAGGCGACGAUCAGUAGCUGGUCUGAGAGGACGACCAGCCACACUGGGACUGAGACACGGCCCAGACUCCUACGGGAGGCAGCAGUGGGGAAUUUUGGACAAUGGGCGAAAGCCUGAUCCAGCAAUGCCGCGUGUGUGAAGAAGGCCUUCGGGUUGUAAAGCACUUUUGUCCGGAAAGAAAUCCUUGGCCCUAAUACGGUCGGGGGAUGACGGUACCGGAAGAAUAAGCACCGGCUAACUACGUG